AUGUUGGACAUCCCUGAAUUAAAGUUUUCAACUCAGGGCAAUCCAUUGAGUCUCCUGGGGUUAUGGCAACCAGUUGUUAAGCAAAUCCAGCUUAACAUCCAUCACCCUUCCAAUGCUUUGGCAGCUGAGAUUUUUGGAAUCUGUGCUGAAAACGUGAAGGCCUCCUACAGUUCUCCUCCAUGGAUUAUCCCAAAGGGGUCUGCAAGACUGGGUCAGACAAAAUAAAGAUGGUGGCCAUGAUCAUGUGAUCCCACCCUCCCUUUUAUCAUGCAUCUGGACAUUUUUGACCCUUCCCCCAGGACUCCACUGGAUCUCUCCAUCUCUACUUGACUUUUACAGCUGAACAAAUGCAGUUGCCACAAAAUUCCCAGGCAGAGAUUAAAAAUUGCGUAACUGUCCAACAAUCCCUCCAAACGGAUUGAGAAUAAUUUUGAUCAAUCGGGAGCAUCAAGUGGAACAGCUGAAUCAAAUUGAUGAGUUCUGUUGAAGCUAUUAAGUACAACUGACUGCCUUUCAUAGCCCCUACUCUCUCUAAAUCAAUCCAGCUCUGAUUUGGAGAUUCGGUCUGGAUGUCCAAAUUUAACUCUCUGUUUUCAAAUCAAUCGGGAUGCUAAAAUCAUAUCUGAACUCAUUUUCAUGCCCCUUGGUACAUCCAGAGAAUUCCUUGCUAGUAUGAAAAUAAUCUUGCUUUCUUUCCUGUGGCAGAGAUACUGCUAUUUUCAUUCUACUGGGAUUUAAAUAAAAUAAAAUAAAAUAAACUGACUAUUCUAAACCAUCCUGAUUCAACCUCCUCCUUACCUCCGAUUGAACAAAUAGGAUUUCUUUGUGGAGGGGAAGGGAAAAUGGGUGGAGAUAGGAGAUUUAUAACCCAGACGAUCUGCAUUUGUGGGUGUUACGCUGUGUGUGAGCAAGAAUCUUUCGCUUUUAAAUUGUCGUUUCCAGGAAAACGAACCAUCAGAUGCCUCUGCUUUCUAGACUAACAGUCUCUGGUCUUAAUGGAAAAAAAUAUCCUUCAAGGCAGACACAAGGGGUUUUCUUACAGAUUUUAUGAUUAGAGCUCCCCUACUUCUUUGUACCAUUUCCAGAUUUGAGGAAAUUAGACAUAUUCUUGACAUUUAGACUUAACAAAGACAUCAAGACAUCGGAGUGACUUCAAAGGGGAAUCAGAUAAUAGGAUGAAUGAGAGAGGGGGGAAAAACACACACACAUGUACAAAAAUGAAGCCAGACAGGGUGGAAAAAUUAUUCCCUUGGAUCGAUCUGAGCAAAUUCAGCUUGCUAAGUACAUUCAAGCUGAUUUAAAGGUACCUCGUUGCAAAGGGGCCUCAAAACUAGAGCAGAUAUGACAGAGAUAGAAUAUAAAUUUUUUUUUAAAAAUCAAAUCUCUAGGGCUCCCUUGGCUCUCGAGCAUCUCAGCUGACCUGAAAAAAGAUUUUCUCUGAUCUCAUUCUUUUAGCAGCCGCGGGUUAUACAAAAACAUAAAAUCAGUAGCUUUGCAAGACAAGGACUUACCUUCAGCACAUCUCUGUUUGCAAGAUUUGGUUACUGCACUCUGACAAUACAGGGGGUCCUCGACUUAUUGAGCCCAAAAUUUCCAUUGCUAACCAAGACAAUUAAGUGAGUUUUGCUCCGGUUCAUGACCGUUAUUGUCACAGUACUUAAGUGAAUCCCUGCAGUGCCUAAGUUAGUCACACGGCCGUUAAGCGAAUCCGGCUUCCCCAUUGACUUUGCUUAUCAGAAGGUCGCAAAAGGGGAUCACAUGACCCCCUGGACACUGCAACUGUCAUAAAUACGAACCAGUGGCCAAGCACCCAAAUUUUGAUCAUGUGACCCUGGGGAUGCUGCAACGGUUGUAAGCAUGAAAAAUGGUCAUAGGUUUUGAGUGCCGUUGUAACUUUGAAUGACCGCUAAACAAAUGGUUGUAAGUCAAGGACUACCUGUGAAGAUGUUGGAUGGGACCUUGGCGGUCUUGUAAUCCAACUCCCUGCUCAAGCAGAAGACCUUAUAUCGGUGAUGGCUAACCUUUUCGGCGCGGAGUGCCCGAAGCGCAUGCACAUGCACAUCCCCAAAAUGCAAUAUCCGCGUGUCCCCCACCC
rnacentral:lncRNA from 1 species